CACCGCCCGUCACAUCACGAAAGUGGGUUGUACUAGAAGCCGUCGCGCUAACCCGCAAGGGAGGCAGGCGCCCACGGUAUGAUCCAUGAUUGGGGUG
rnacentral:rRNA from 1 species